UACGGGGGGAGCAAGCGUUGUUCGGAAUUACUGGGCGUAAAGGGCGCGUAGGCGGGAUGGCAAGUCGGUCGUGAAAUCCUUCGGCUCAACCGAAGAACGUCGAUCGAUACUGCUGUUCUUGAGGGUUGCAGAGGAGACUGGAAUUCCCGGUGUAGCGGUGAAAUGUGUAGAGAUCGGGAGGAACACCGGUGGCGAAGGCGGGUCUCUGGGCAAUUCCUGACGCUGAGGCGCGAAAGCGUGGGGAGCGAACAGG
rnacentral:rRNA from 1 species